rnacentral:rRNA from 1 species
AUAAACAAUUCUAUACUAGUGAAACUCGCGAAUGGCUCAUUAAAUCAGUUAUAGUUUAUUUGAUAAUAUCUACUACUCGGACAACCGUGGUAAUUCUAGAGCUAAUACGUGCGUAAAAACCCGACUUACGAAGGGUUGUAUUUAUUAGAUACAAAACCAAUGCAGGGUAACCUGGUUUUUGGUGAUUCAUAAUAACUUCUCGGAUCGCAUGGCUCACGCCGGCGACGUUUCAUUCAAAUUUCUGCCCUAUCAACUUUCGAUGGUAAGGUAUUGGCUUACCAUGGUUACAACGGGUAACGGAGAAUUAGGGUUCGAUUCCGGAGAGGGAGCCUGAGAAACGGCUACCACUUCCAAGGAAGGCAGCAGGUGCGCAAAUUACCCAAUCCUGACACAGGGAGGUAGUGACAAAAAAUAACAAUACAGGACUUUUAAAGCCUUGUAAUUGGAAUGAGUACAAUUUAAACCCCUUAACGAGUAACAAUU